UCUUCCCUUCUCCGGCGAAUUCGUCGCCGUCCGGCCACCCCAAGACGCAUCGUUAGGCACGGCGUGAUCCUCUCUUCCUUCUCCUUCUAGCUAUCUUGUUUUGGGCUGUAGAGGAAGAAUUGAAGGUGUUUGGGGACGUGAACAGUAGCGUGAACAGUUCCAUCCGAGUUCUUGAGUUUGGGUUUGGAAUUUCCAGCUUUUUCUGCUUGUUUUGGAUGUGAUUGCUGGGGGUGUUGUGGAGAUAAUUUUGAGCUAAAUAGAGAUGGAAUUGACGUACUGAGCCCUCGAGCGAGGAGGACACAGACAGGCAGCAGGGUUAGCUGCGGGAUUUACUAAUUUCAGAUUAGCAGAGAUUGCAUCCAGGCUCAAGGACUUUGGAAAUCAGCGAUUCCGUUUUUGUCCGUAGGUUAUUACUUAACCUACCUUGUAUGAUAUCGGCUUAGUUUAGUGUUGCUCUGAU
rnacentral:lncRNA from 1 species